UACGUAGGGGGCAAGCGUUGUCCGGAUUUAUUGGGCGUAAAGAGCGUGUAGGCGGUUUGGUAGGUCCGCUGUGAAAACUCGAGGCUCAACCUCGAGACGCCGGUGGAAACCAUCAGACUAGAGUCCGGAAGAGGAGAGUGGAAUUCCUGGUGUAGCGGUGAAAUGCGCAGAUAUCAGGAAGAACACCCGUGGCUAAGGCGGCUCUCUAGUACGGUACUGACGCUGAGACGCGAAAGCGUGGGGAGCGAAGCAGG
rnacentral:rRNA from 1 species